CCAGAGUGUAAAUGGGUGGAGGGAACCGCAGCAGCGCUAAAGGCCUGUGACUGUGUGCGGCUGUCUGAGGUGCAUUCAGACGGAAGCGCCCUCAGAUUACUUGGACGUGCUGUGGUUUCAAAAGAUGUCAUUGGAAUCAGAAGACAGUGACAAAGACUCAGAUAUAAACGGACUGUCUAGCUCCAGGCCCAGUUGUCAUGGCUACCAUUAUGCUGUCUGAUGCUGAAGUACAUUUUG